rnacentral:lncRNA from 1 species
UCUGCCUCUUCUCCUGUGUCCCUGCUGCCCGCUUCUGGUGCCCCCAGCUGAUGGAAGACACCGAGUUCCAGAAGUUCCUUUCAGUUCACCAGAAGUGGACACAGGUGGCCACUUGGGCAAAUGAUGCCCUGGACACUGAGCCCCCAGAAGGGAAGAGCAAGCCGACCAGUGACUACCUGAACUUUGACUCUGAUUCUGGGCAGGAGAGUGAGGAGGAGGCUGCGAGGAGGAGCUGAGCAAGGCCUGGAAGCUAAGGCGGCUGCGCAGCGGGGGCUGUCGGACAUGGAGUACCUGAAGUCCAAGGUGGUGGCAGCCGAGUCCUCUUCCUCAGAGGAGGAGGAAAGUGAGGACGAAGCUGUAAACUGUGACAGAGGCAGCGAGGAAGAGGAGUCCCCUGCCACCCCUGACCAGCCGGAGCAAGGGAGCCCAGGGACCCUGCCUGGGAGGGGGAGGCUGCAGGAGCCUGGAGCCCAGAGAGAGAAACCAGCAAACCAGAAGGAACCCACCAUGGCCUACACCAUGAAGCUCUGGGGAGCCCCGUUCAGUGUCACAGAGAAAAAUGUCCUGGAAUUCCUGACGCCCCUGAAACCAGUGGCCAUUCGAAUAGU